GCCUAAAGCGUCCGUAGCCGGCUUUGUAAGUUUUCGGUUAAAUCUAUAUGCUCAACAUAUAGGCUGCCGGGAAUACUGCAAAGCUAGGGAGUGGGAGAGGUAGACGGUACUCCGUAGGAAGGGGUAAAAUCCUUUGAUCUAUGGAUGACCACCUGUGGCGAAGGCGGUCUACCAGAACACGUCUGACGGUGAGGGAUGAAAGCUGGGGGAGCAAACCGGAUUAGAUACCCGGGUAGUCCCAGCUGUAAACUAUGCAAACUCAGUGAUGCAUUGGCUUGUGGCCAGUGCAGUGCCGCAGGGAAGCCGUUAAGUUUGCCGCCUGGGAAGUACGUACGCAAGUAUGAAACUUAAAGGAAUUGGCGGGGGAGCACCACAAGGGGUGAAGCCUGCGGUUCAAUUGGAGUCAACGCCAGAAAUCUUACCCGGAGAGACAGCAGGAUGAAGGUCAAGCUGAAGACUUUACCAGACAAGCUGAGAAGUGGUGCAUGGCCGUCGCCAGCUCGUGCCGUGAGGUGUCCUGUUAAGUCAGGUAACGAGCGAGAUCCUUGCCUCUAGUUGCUACCAUUACUCUCAGGAGUAGUGGAGCGAAUUAGCGGGACUGCCGUAGUUAAUACGGAGGAAGGAGAGGGCCACGGCAGGUCAGUAUGCCCCGAA
rnacentral:rRNA from 1 species